UUGUCAAUUAUUAAACGAAUUUUCAAAUUUCAAUUUUGAAUUUUCUUCAUUUUAAAUUUUUUAUACGAGUUGAGAAUAAUUUCCGUUUUCGAGGAAUUGAGGAAAUUUAAAAUUUAAUAAAAUAAAUUUUGUGAAUAGAUAGCUGGUUUGAGAGGAUUUGCAAAUGCGAUUUGUGUAAUUUUAAAGUGCCUACUACCUGUACCUACUUACGCUGUGAUUUUCCUGAAAUUGGCUGCUUCGUUAAUACGGCUGUCAAUAUUUUUGGAAGGACUCUUGGAUGUAAUAACCUACACAAGAAAGAAUAUCUUAGAGAAAAUCAAAGAGGCACCAAACCUCACUAUGGGAAAUAGCAUGUAUAAGUGUACGAAAAAAAGAAAAGACAAUUUCAAUGUCAAACAGUUACGAAAAGCUAUAAAGUUAUCAAAAAAUUUAAAAUUUCAGAAACAUAUUAGAACAUUUUCUGCAUUAUUUAACACAGAUAGAAUGAAAGAAAUUCAUAAGCGUACACGGAGAAGGGUGUUCACAGAUAGAGACAAACUCAUUGCUCUCAGCCUCUACAAACAGAACCCACACAUAUAUAGGUUGUUAUGUAACAUUUAUGUACUGCCUCCUGUACCGUUGCUUCAAAAAUUGGCAUCAGAAUAUUCACCUGGAAUGAAUGUUCGAGUAUUAGCAAAACUAAAACUCCGGGCUGAAAGAUUGAGUAAAUUAAAAAAAAUGUGUGUCCUUAUGUUUGACGAAGUCGUUGUAGCACCAACUGUCAACUACAAACAAAGAAAACAUCUCAUAAAGAGAGGCAUGUCUACAUACGCUGAUCGUGUUUAUAUUUUCAUGAUCAGGUUGAUUUUCACAAAAAGAAACCAACCGGUCGCUUACAAGUUCUCUGUCGGAAGGUUGAAUCCAUUAUACAUGCAGAUGUGCAUAAAUUUUAUUAUAAGUGAGCUACAGUACUGUGGAUUCAAUGUUAUGGCUACUGUAUGUGAUCAGAACGUUAGAAACAUUGCAGUUAUUAAUGCUUUGAUUGCAGACACAAAUGAAAUAUAUAAAGAUAUCAACAAGAACCGUGAAGGUGCAGUUUUUGUACUGAACAAGCAGGUGAUUGCACCAAUGUAUGAUGCCUCACACCUCAUCAAGGGCAUUAGGAAUGAUUUGAUUGAAAAUAAUCUACACAUGACAAUUGGUGACAAUAUCUGUAUAGCAAAAUGGGAACAUAUAGUAUCGUACACUAAAUUUGUAACGUAUCUUCUGACCAAACGACACGUGGACCUGAAGAAAAUGAACAGAUUAGAUGCUGAGUGUGCAAAAUUAACUAUGAGUGAUGGGGAUGGACGAUUUAUGAUGUCGAUAGCACACUCGCGUGCUCGCUGUGUACAGUCUGAGCCAAAAGGCUUUCCUGUAGAGGCUAUGUCCACAGGCUGUGUUAUGAAGUUCUUCGGUGAGCUGACCAAGUCUAUGAGUGGUGGUUACUCUGAGUACAGGGAAGAUGAGCCCCUUCUACGGGGGGUAUCACGCAAAUCUGUGCACAACAAACUGUGGGAAUCCUCUGCAGAAGCGCUAAAGACCGCUAAAUUCAUAGACAAAGAAGGAAAAGAAGUAUCCACACAUUCAAUAGACUGUUGGAUACAAACAUUGGAUAAUGCGAGGUAUCUGUCAAACAAAAUGUUCAAAAAAUUUCAUAUUCGAAAGUUUUUCAUCACACGUUUCAAUAUGUACCCACUGCAGGAGUUUAUUAGACGUAUACGUUUGUCAUAUGGAUGUCAUAAUAUUAGAACUUAUGAGAUUAAAUAACUCCUAAGUAUUUUCGCCUAGGAUGCGCACUACGGCAUAACUCGAUUUCGAGAAGAUAUAAAAACAAGUGUCGACCAAUAGCAACAGCAAUCCAAACAUGUCUCGGUGCGUUGGAGAGAAUGACAGAGAUAUUGGGUAAGGGAAAAAGUAAUCCUUUUUAAUCGACUUCAAAAAAAGGAGGUUCUCAAUUCGACGCGUAUGAUUUUUUUACUGUAUGUUAACUUUAUUUCUUAAAUUUAAAAAUUCUUUUUUGUGUGAAAGAAUAUUGGUCCCAUUUAAUUUUAGCCGCCUUAGCGGUAGCACAUAAGAUGUUAUUUUUCGCUUUUUAGUAUAUUUUUCUAAUUUUAAAGUCGGUUAAAUUUUUUUGUUACAAAGACUUUAUUUUUAGAUAGGUAGUAAUGAUCAUUAUCUCUUAUGUAUUUAUCAAUGAUAUUCAUAUUUAUACUAAUUUUAUAGGUGACAUUUCCCUAAAGAAUUUUUUUUGCGGUUUUUUUUGUUUUGUUAUUCAGGAAGGGUAAUAGACUAUUAAAAUCAAUUACUAGAUGGUUUUGCCAUUAGGGGCCAAGACUUUGAGAAAGAAGAAAAAGAGGGGCCAAGACUUUGAGAGAGAAGAAAAAGGCAACAGAUUAAGGAAGAAAAUGGUGUAGCGUAAACAUGGAUUACUUUUUCCCAAAACUAAUAUUUUAGCUUUGCGGCUAUUGGUUGACAGUAUAUAUUUUUUCUUGAAGUACCUAAUAGGAGUAUGUCGUUGAUUGUAUGCUAGGCCUAUUGGAAUUGUUAUCAAAUACACAUAGAAGUAAGUGUUUGAAAAUGUGAUUCAAAUAUGCUCAAUAAAUAACAUAUAAGACUGUUUUCGUUUGGAUGUUUUAAUAUGGACCCCCUCGGAAUGUUUCUCAAACGCUUCCAGAAAUACUGAAAAUGUAAGAACUUACGAGAUUAUUACCUCGAUCAAAAAUACGGUUGAUCUGAUCUUGACGGCCUCCGUGGCGCAGUGGAUUUACAAGACGGAGGACCUGGGUUCAAUCCCCGGCUGGGCCGAGGUUUUCUUAAUUGGUCCAGACCUGGCUUUGGAAGGCUUGUGGCUAGUUACCACGUACCGCCAAGCUAUUUAGCGUUCCAGUACGAUGUCAUCUAGAAACCGAAAUGGGUGUGGAUUUUCAACCUCCUCCUAACAAGUUAGCCCGCUUCCAUCUUAGAUUGCAUCAUCUUACCAUCAGGUGAGAUUGUAGUCAAGGGCUAACUUGUAAAGAAUAAAAAAAAGACAAGAUCUUCUUCGUCUUCUCAGCGCUUUUUGAUUUUAUUUGUUCCGUUUAUAUUAUCUUCUACUCUUUAAUAAAAUCAUAACUUUUAUGUCGCACUAUAGGUACAUGCUGACUGUUUCGAUUGUUUUGAUAGGUACCAUAACUCAUAAGUAAGUACCUUUUCCUUAAUGAACUUUACUUUAUCAUACUUUUUUGCUUACUGGCUUAAAUAUUUUGGUGAAACAUGGUGAACGUGAUUUAUAAUGUUUUCCACUGACGAUCAAGUAAUCUCACAUGCCUGCUACGAUAACGGCUUGGCAACUGAUAAAACGGACGUCAAGCCGUUAGCGCUGCGGGCAUGUGAGAUUGAGAUUACUUGAUCGUCAGUGGCUGACAUAAUUAUUUUCUCUGUCUACGCUUGGAAAAGUUUGAUUGAACUUUGAAAAGUCUGUGGUAACUGGUACGGUUUUCUAGUCUAUGGGUUUAUGGUUAAAAAUUAACGACAAUUUUAUUUUACGUUUACGAAAGAAAUGUGAUAAUUUCACGAGGACGCUUGGAAAGAGUACUUAAUUUUGUGGAUUUUUGAGAGGUUUUGCAAUUGCAAAUGCAAUUUGCAUCAUCGAAGAAUACUCAUUGUUCUGAUCCUGAUUCCUGAAGUUUGAGUUAGCUGCUUAAUUCGUGUAAACGGCUGUCAAAUUUUUACUAGGAAGGAUUGAUUUUUACUUUUAUAAGGUAUACUUAUAGAAACAUCAAACCUUAAGUAACAAAGAGACACAAAACCUCACCAUGGGAAAUAGCAUGUUUAGGUGUAAGAAAAAAAGAAAAGACAGUACCAAUGUGAAACGGUUAAGAAAAGCCAUAAAGCUAUCACAAAAUUUAAAAUUUCAAAAACAUAUUAGAACAUUUUCUGCAUUAUUUAACAGAGAUAGAAUGAAAGAAAUUCAUAAGCGUACACGGAGAAGGGUGUUCACAGAUAGAGACAAAUUCAUUGCUCUCAGCCUCUACAAACAGAACCCACAUAUAUACCGGUUGUUAUGUAACAUUUAUGUACUGCCUCCUGUUUCGUCGCUGCAAAAAUUGUCAUCAGAACGUAUUUCACCUGGAAUGAAUAUUAGACUAUUAGCAAAACUAAAACUCAGGGCCAGAGGACUGAGUAGAGUUGAAAAAAUGUGUGUCCUUAUGUUUGACGAAGUUGUUAUAGCACCAACUGUUGAUUGUGAACAAAGAGAACAUCUUAGAAGGAUAGAUAUCUCCACAUAUGCUGAUCAUGUUGUAAUUUUCAUGAUCAGGUUGAUUUUCACAAAAAGAAACCAACCGGUUGCUUACAAGUUCUCUGUCGGAAGGUUGAAUCCAUUAUACAUGCAGAUGUGCAUAAAUUUUAUUAUAAGUGAGCUACAGUACUGUGGAUUCAAUGUUAUGGCUACUGUAUGUGAUCAGAACGUUAGAAACAUUGCAGUUAUAAAUGCUUUGAUUGCAGACACAAAUGAAAUAUAUAAAGAUAUCAACAAGAACCGUGAAGGAGCAGUUUUUGUACUGAACAAGCAAGUGAUCGUACCAAUGUAUGACGCUUCACAACUCAUCAAGGGCAUUAGGAAUGAUUUGAUUAAAAAUGAUCUACACAUGACAGUAGAUGACGAUGUCUGUGUAGCGAAAUGGGAUCAUAUAGUCAAGUAUACUGAAGGUGAACACAUAACGUAUCGUCUGACUAAACGUGAUGUGGAUGUGAAGAAAAUGAACAGAUUAGAUGCCGAGUGUGCUAAACGGACUAUGAGUGAAGGGGACGGAGGACUUAUGAUGUUUAGGCUCAAAGUGCAUAUUGAGGUUGCUCAGUAUAUUCCAGCGAUCAAAGACACCAUCAUUCCUAGUAUCGAGCCUACGUACUACACAGGUCGUGUUAUGAAGUUCUUCGGUGAGCUGAACAAGUCCAUGAGUGGUGGUUACACACCAUACAUAGAACAUACGAACCUUAGACGUGGAGUAACACGUAGAUCUGUGCACCGGAAACUGUGGAAAUCCUCUGCGAAGGCACUGCGGACGGCCAGAUUCAUAGACAAAGAUGGAAAAAAAGUUCCCUCACAUUCACUAGACUGUUGGAUCCAAACAGUGAACAAUGCGAGGUAUCUCUCAAGCAAAAUGUUCAAUAAUAAUAUUCGAAAGUUUUUCAUCGCACGUUUCAAUAUGUACCCUCUCCAGGAGUUUAUUAGACGCAUACGUUUAUCAUAUGGAUGCUAUAAUAUUAGAACUUAUGAGAUUGUAUAACUCCUCUAUAUGGACUCCUAUAGACAUAUGAUGCCUAAAGGAGUCCAUAUUUGUUGUGUGCCUCAACAUAUCUUGAGAUGAGAUAAAGAGCAAUGUCGACAAAUAACAGUGUGACAUUAUAUAACACCUCAAUAUGGACUCCUAUAGGCCUCAUCAUCAUCAUCAACCCGUAUUUGGCUCACUGCUGAGCUCGAUUCUCCUCUCAGAAUGAGAAAGGUUAGGCCAAUAGUCCACCACGCUGGCCCAAUGCGGAUUGGCAGACUUCACAUACGCAGAGAAUUAAGAAAAUUCUCUGGUAUUAAGGUUUCCUCGCGAUGUUUUUCCUUCACCGUUUGAGACACGUGAUAUUUAAUUUUUUAAAAUGCACAUAACUGAAAAGUUGGAGGUGCAUACCCCGGACCGGAUUCGAACCCACACCCUCCGAAAUCGGAGGCAGAAGUCAUAUCCACUGUGCUAUCUCUGCUCACCCUAAUGAUGAGGACUCUUAUAGGCAUAUGAUGCCUUAAGGAGUCCUUAUUGUGUUGUGGUGUGCCUUAAUCGAGACGAUAUGUUGAGACGAGAUAAAGACCUAUGUCGACCAAUAACAGCGCAAUAGUACUAUCAAUUGUGGCUUUGGGAUGGAAGAGCGAUAUUUCAACUGUGUUAUAGGUUGACAAUAUGCCUUUUUCUCUGCAAGUGAUACCUCGUUAAUGCCUAUUGGAAUGUUUGUCAAAUACAUAUAGAAAUAUGUAUUUAAAAAUGUGAUUUAGAUAUGCUCAAUAAAUAAAAGACAGUGUUC